AUGAGUAGCGAGAUGUGGGUGAGAAUCCCACAGGCCGUAAACCCAAGGUUUCCAGGGGAAGGUUCGUCCGCCCUGGGUUAGUCGGGACCUAAGCUGAGGCCGAAAGGCGUAGGUGAUGGACAACAGGCUGAUAUUCCUGUACUACCGAUAACCGUUUGAGAGAAGGGAUGACACAGUAGGAUAAGCUAAGCACACUGUUGGUUAUGUGUGCCCAAGCAUUGAGGCAGUCAAAGUAGG
rnacentral:rRNA from 1 species